GCAGAAAACUUUAGAGGCACACGGAGGAGAAACAAAAUACAAAAGCAAGCAGAGGGCAAGAUAUACAAGGCGAAGAGGUAGAAAGGAAUGAGGUUGCUGUCAUUCCAACAGCUUCGAAGAGAAAGCAACGAAUUUCGUAAGUACACACAUGGUCUAGCUGCUCGAGGAGUUCAUUAUAUACAUCGGAAAUACGAAGAUCAUUCACCUGUAAGCGGUGCAAUCUGGGAAAUCUAGGCAAAUCUACGAUGUCAAAACCGAAUAUGGUCCUCGCUGGAAAAAAUGGUGGUAUUUCUUAGCGUGAUUUUGUCGACAUGGGAAUGAGAUAGGACGGGCAAGAGAUGGGAGGAAGGAUAGGCAGAAACAACGUCCUAGGGUAUGAAAUUCAAGGUCAAUAACGGUGAUUGCUGAAGCUGGAAGUGAACGACGUUGUGGUGAGAUAGAUGAAGAUGACCUCCUAAUUGAAGUCGGCGACGUUUUCCAGUUAGUAUUAUGUGUAAUUAUUUAAUUGUUUAAGGUCAUUUUGGGUGUUUGAAAGUUUCAUUAAAGGGCUCAACGCCUCUUGCAAAUUAAG